GACGAACGCUGGCGGCGUGCUUAACACAUGCAAGUCGAAUGGUAAGGCUCCAGCUUGCUGGGGUACACGAGUGGCGAACGGGUGAGUAACACGUGGGUGACCUGCCCUGCACUUCGGGAUAAGCCUGGGAAACUGGGUCUAAUACCGGAUAGGACCGCACCGUGAGGGUGUGGUGGAAAGUUUUUUCGGUGUGGGAUGGGCCCGCGGCCUAUCAGCUUGUUGGUGGGGUAAUGGCCUACCAAGGCGGCGACGGGUAGCCGGCCUGAGAGGGUGGACGGCCACAUUGGGACUGAGACACGGCCCAGACUCCUACGGGAGGCAGCAGUGGGGAAUAUUGCACAAUGGGCGGAAGCCUGAUGCAGCGACGCCGCGUGGGGGAUGACGGCCUUCGGGUUGUAAACUCCUUUCACCAUCGACGAAGGGUUUCUGACGGUAGAUGGAGAAGAAGCACCGGCUAACUACGUGCCAGCAGCCGCGGUAAUACGUAGGGUGCGAGCGUUGUCCGGAAUUACUGGGCGUAAAGAGUUCGUAGGUGGUUUGUCGCGUCGUCUGUGAAAUUCCGGGGCUUAACUCCGGGCGUGCAGGCGAUACGGGCAUAACUUGAGUACUGUAGGGGAGACUGGAAUUCCUGGUGUAGCGGUGAAAUGCGCAGAUAUCAGGAGGAACACCGGUGGCGAAGGCGGGUCUCUGGGCAGUAACUGACGCUGAGGAGCGAAAGCAUGGGGAGCGAACAGGAUUAGAUACCCUGGUAGUCCAUGCCGUAAACGGUGGGCGCUAGGUGUGGGUUUCCUUCCACGGGAUCCGUGCCGUAGCUAACGCAUUAAGCGCCCCGCCUGGGGAGUACGGCCGCAAGGCUAAAACUCAAAGGAAUUGACGGGGGCCCGCACAAGCGGCGGAGCAUGUGGAUUAAUUCGAUGCAACGCGAAGAACCUUACCUGGGCUUGACAUAUACAGGAUCGCGCCAGAGAUGGUGUUUCCCUUGUGGCUUGUAUACAGGUGGUGCAUGGUUGUCGUCAGCUCGUGUCGUGAGAUGUUGGGUUAAGUCCCGCAACGAGCGCAACCCUUGUCUUAUGUUGCCAGCACGUUGUGGUGGGGACUCGUAAGAAACUGCCGGGGUUAACUCGGAGGAAGGUGGGGAUGACGUCAAAUCAUCAUGCCCCUUAUGUCCAGGGCUUCACACAUGCUACAAUGGUCGGUACAGUGGGUUGCCAGUCCGUGAGGGCGAGCUAAUCCCGCAAAGCCGGUCUCAGUUCGGAUCGGGGUCUGCAACUCGACCCCGUGAAGUCGGAGUCGCUAGUAAUCGCAGAUCAGCAACGCUGCGGUGAAUACGUUCCCGGGCCU
rnacentral:rRNA from 1 species